GAGAAACUAGUCUAACCAAAGACAAUUGAUUUCGACUCAAUUAAUUAUGAUACUUCCAUAGUUUCUUA
rnacentral:tRNA from 1 species